rnacentral:rRNA from 1 species
UACGGAGGUCCCAAGCGUUGUUCGGAUUUACUGGGCGUAAAGGGUGCGUAGGUGGCCAGCAAAGUCUGAUGUGAAAGCCCCGAGCUCAACUCGGGAAAUGCCUUGGAUACUACUUGGCUUGAGGAUCGGAGGGGAGACUGGAAUUCUCGGUGUAGAAGUGAAAUGCGUAGAUAUCGAGAGGAACACCAGUGGCGAAGGCGAGUCUCUGGACGAUUCCUGACACUGAGGCACGAAAGCUAGGGGAGCAAACAGGAUUAGAUACCCUGGUAGUCCUAGCUGUAAACGAUGCACACUUGCUGUAGGAGGAUUCGACCCCUUCUGUGGCGGAGCAAACGCGAUAAGUGCGCCGUCUGGGGAGUACGGGCGCAAGAUUAAAACUCAAAGAAAUUGACGGGCGCCUGCACAAGCGGUGGAGUAUUGUGUUUUAUUUCGAAGCAGCGCGAAGAACCUUACCUGGUCGUGAUGUGCAUCUCUAAGCGUGUGAAAGCACGUGGCCCCUCGGGGAAUCAGCACAGGCACGGCAUGGCUCUCGUCAGCUCGUGUCGUGAGAGGUUGGGUUAAGUACCGCAACGAGCGCAACCCUUGUCAUUAGUUCAUUCGAAAGGGCACUCUAAUGAGACUGCCGGUGACAAACCGGAGGAAGGUGGGGAUGACGUCAAGUCAUCAUGGCCCUUACGGGCCGGGCUACACACGUGCUACAAUGGCGGCUACAGAGGGCAGCAAACCCGCGAGGGUGAGCAAAUCUCCAAAAGUCGUCUCAGUUCAGAUUGCACUCUGCAACUCGGGUGCAUGAAGUCGGAAUCGCUAGUAAUCGCGUAUCAGCAUGACGCGGUGAAUACGUUCCCGGGCCU